AGAGGGCCAGACCUGGGGAGAGGUUCAUCCUAGCACAGCAGCCCUGGUCAGAGAUUUGCAGGGGCAACUCUCACAGAUAACGGCACCGUGAUGUUUGCUGGAUUGUUUUUCAUAUAGACUUUACUCAUGGAAGGAUGAUCUUCCUGUAACUUAAUAAGAUAAUGUCGCCAACAAUCUCUUCAAAAAACACCCUGUUGAAACUUGCUGUCCUUGGGCUCUUGCCAGAGCCCAUUCCUGCCUCCUGCCUGCUGUCUGGCUUGUUUUUAGCAGUGGUUGCCUCUGGGCCGGGUUUGUGUUCUUGAAGAACUCAGUUCAGGAUGGUCCUAGCAGCUGAUGGAAGCCUCCAGAGCAAGUGGGUCAGGCUGUCAAGGUGGAACCCCGAGGCUGCAUGUGGCUGUGGAUACAGAAUUGAGUGGGCAUGAUCUGGAGAUACAGCAGGCCUCCCCACCCCAAGAUCUGUGUGAAGAACCUAAACGGAAAGAGUCAAGAUUUAGGAUGAACGAGAGGAGCUGGUGUCUUUCUGAAUUUUGUAUGAAGCACUUAUUCCUGUGUCAUUGCCAACGAAUUUUAUACUACACAAACAUUGUACAGGAGGCAGUGAUCAAGACCAUCCCUAAGAUAAAGAAAUGCAAAAAGACAAAAUGGUUGUCAGAGGAGGCCUUACAAAUAGCUGUGAAAAGAAGAGAAGUGAAAGGCAAAGGAGAAAAGGAAAGAUAUAAGCAUCUGAAUGCAGAGUUCCAAAGAAUAGCAAGGAGAGAGAAAAAAGCCUUCCUCAGUGAUCAAUGCAAAGAAAUAGAGGAAAACAAUAGAAUGGGAAAGACUAGAGAUCUCUUCAAGAAAAUCAGAGAUACCAAGGGAACAUUUCAUGCAAAGAUAGGCUCAAUAAAGGACAGAAAUGUAUGGACCUAACAGAAGCAGAAAAUAUUAAGAAGAGGUGGCAAGAAUAUACAAAAGAACUAUACAAAAAUAUCUUCAUGUCCCAGAUAAUCACAAUGGUGUGAUCACUCACCUAGAGCCAGACAUCCUGGAAUAUGCAAAGUCAAGUGGGCCUUAGAAAGCAUCACUACGAACAAAGCUAGUGGAGGUGAUGGAAUUCCAGUUGAGCUAUUUCAAAUCCUAAAAGAUGAUGCUGUGAAAGUGCUGCAUUCAAUGUGCCAGCAAAUUUGGAAAACUCAGUAGUGGCCACAGGAUUGGAAAAGUCAGUUUUCAUUCCAAUUCCAAAGAAUGCUCAGACUACUGCAAAAUUAUACUCAUCUCACAUGCUAGCAAAGCAAUGCUCAAAAUUCUCCAAGCCAGGCUUCAAUAGUACAUGAACCGUGAACUUCCAGAUGUUCAAGUUGAAUUUAGAAAAGGCAGAGGAACCAGAGAUCAAACUGCCAAGUCUGCUGGAUCAUCAAAAAAGCAAGAGAGUUCCAGAAAAACAUCUACUUCUGCUUUAUUGACUACACCAAAGCCUUUGUGCGGAUCACCAUAAACUGUGGAAAAUUCUUCAAGAGACGGGAAUACCUGAUCUGCCUCCUGAGAAAUCUGUAUGCAGAUCAAGAAGCCACAGUUAGAAUUGGACAUGCAACAACAGACUGGUUCCUAAUUAGGAAAGGAGUAUAACAAGGCUGUAUAUUGUCACCCUGCUUAUUUAACUUCUAUGCGGAGUACAUCAUGCGAAAUGCCAGGCUGGAUGAAGCACAAGCUGGAAUCAAGAUUGCUAGGAGAAAUAUCAAUAACCUCAGAUACACAGAUGACAUCAUACUUAUGGCAAAAAGUGAAGAAGAACUAAAGAGUCUCCUGAUGCAAGUGAAAGAGGAGAGUGAAAAAGCUGGCUUAAAGCUCAACUUUCAGAAAACUAAGAUCAUGGCAUCUGGUCCCAUCAGUUCAUGACAAAUAGAUGGGGAAACAAUGGAAACAGCGAGAGACUUUAUUUUUUCGGGCUCCAAAAUCACUGCAGAUGGUGACUGCAGCCAUGAAAUCAAAAGACGCUUACUCCUUGGAAGGAAAGUUAUGACCAACCUAGACAACAUAUUAAAUGGCAGAGACAUUACUUUGCCAACAAAUGUUGGUCUAGUCAAAGCUAUAGUUUUUCCAGUAGUUAUGUAUGGAUGUGAGAGUUGGACUAGAAAGAAAGCUGAGCACCAAAGAAUUGAUGCUUUUCAACUGUGGUGUUGGAGAAGACUCUUGAGAGUCUCUUGGACUGAAGGAGAUUCAACCAGUCCAUCCUAAAAGAAAUAAGUCCUGCAUGUUCAUUGAAAGGACUGAUGCUGAAGGUGAAAUUCCAAUACUUUGGCCACCUGAUGUGAAGAACCAACUUAUUGGAAAAGACCCUGAUGCUGGAAAAGAUUAAAGGAGGGAGGAGAAGGUGACAACAGAGGAUGAGAUGGUUGGAUGGCAUCACCGACUCAAUGGACAUGAGUUUGAGUAAACUCCUGGAGUUGGUGAUGGACAGGAAGGCCUGGUGUGCUACAGUCCAUGGGGUCACAGAGUCAGACACGACUGAGCGACUUAACUGAACUGAUACUACAUAGAUAUUUUCUACCAUGUCAUUUGAAUCCCUUUGCUGUUUUUUUUUUUUUUAAUGAUAUUUUUUGAGUUAAUUCCUUAAUAGUUAACAUGCUGAUUACAAUGAACAUUAUAAUUUAUCACAAUUGACUUUGCAUAAAUACAGACAAUUUCAAUAUUAUACAAACACUCUGUUCCUAGCUGCAUUCCCUCUCUUCUCCUAUGCCACAUUUUUGUCAUAAAAAUGACAUCUUUGUGCAUUAUUUGCUUAUCAACAGAGUUAUAAUUAUUGCUUAAUGCAGUUGUCUUUUACUCUUAAAGGAGAAGAAAAGAAUUACAAACAGAAAAUAGUUAUACUGUUUUUUAUAUUUAUCUAUGUAUUUACCUUUACCAGUGUUUUCUGUUUUUUUUUAAAUGUGUAUUUGAUUUAUUGUCUAGUAUCAUUUUAUUUCAUCAUGUCAGACUCCCUUAAGUAUUUCUUAUAGAGCAGUUCAGCUAGUGACAAACUCUCUCAGGUUUGUUUAUCUGGGAAUACUUUAAUUUUCCCUCAGUUUUGAAAGAUAGUUUUGCUAGAUACAGAAUUCUUGCUUGAUAAGUCUCUUUCUUUUUCUUUCAGUACUUUGAAUAUGUUAUUCCACUGCCUUCUGAUCUCCAUGGUUUCUGACAAAAACUGGAUAUUAAUCUUCAUGAUUUCUUCUACAUGAUGAAUCACAUCCUCUUGAUGUUUUCAAGAUCUUCUCUUUACCUUUCAAUAAUUUUGCUACAAUGUGUCUAGGUAUAGACUUCUGUGAUUUUAUCCUAUUUACAGUUCAUUGAACUUCUUGGAUGUGGAAAUGAAUGUUUUCUAAAUCAUAUUUAGGGAGUUUCUGAUCAUUAUUUCCUCAAAUAUUUUUUCUGUCAUUUUUCACUCUGCUACUGGGACUCUUACAAACAUGUUGACACCCUUUUGAUGUGCCAUAAGUAUCUGAGAUUGUCCAUUUUCCUUUAUUCUUUUUCAUUUAUUUUUUCUCUAGACCGGAUAUGCAAAAUCCUUUGAUUCUUUCUUCUGCCAUCUCAAAUCUGAUACUGAGACCCACAAAAAUGACUUUUUGUUUCUAUUAUUGCGCCUUUUAAUGCUAGAGUAUCUGUUUGAGUUUUUUUUAAAUGUAAACCUAUUAAUAUUUUCUAUUUAGUGAGACAUUAUUCUCUACUCUCAUUAAUUCUUUAGGAUGUGGUGCCCUAAAGAUUUUGAAUAUAUUUAAAUAUCUGAUUUGAAGCCUCCGACUAGUACAUCUAAGAUCUGGACUUUGUAAUGGACAGUUUCUCCUGAUUGAUUUUUUUUUCCUAUGCAAGGACCAUACUUCUAUGCUUCUUUGCAUGUUUCACAAAUUUUUCUUUGAAAAACAGAUAUUUAAAGUAAUACAAUAUGACAACUCUGGAAAUCAAACCCAGAAUUUAUUGUUUGUUUGUUUAGGGACCCUCUUGAACUAAUUACGUAAUAUCAGUUUUCUUUGUCAUGUUUUGCCAUUAACAUCACUGCAAAGUUAGCUUGGUGGUAAGCUAAUAAAUGGAAGAUAUUUUCCUAAAUGCUUGGAACC
ensembl:lncRNA